UCUCCAAAAACGAAGCAACGCACCUCUCCCGCUCCUCCAAACCGAAGCAGUGGAUAUGGCUCUCCCACCAAUGCCUCAGAAUCACUUUUAAUGCCCCCCUUACGAGAUCAAUCAAAAUUUCUUCGUCCACCAUUGCCCAUCACUCAGAAUCGCUUCAUGCUUCAACCUUUUCUCUUUUUUUGGUGCAACGGAAAUUCGUUUCUACCUUUUCACACGAUGAAGGCAUAACAACACCGUUUCUCUGAAUGUUCUCGUGACUUUCACUGCCCAUCCUAAGGAUUCCUCACCAUCAUCUUGCUGACAAUAUUGGGUUCGUGCUGGCUUCCAAGCCAAUUGGAAAUGGCAGUGGAUGGUGCUUGGAAUGUAAUGAUAGAAGCUUGGCUUGUUACAAGCAAUGGGCAAUAUCAAAUAAAUAAUUAUUCCCUUUUCACCAUAUAAGCAACAAAAGUGGAAGCAAUGGCCUAUUUGAAGCGCUUCAGUGGGCUAAGCAAAACAUUAGCAUUGAUAACCUUAUCAUUUAUAUUGAUGCUUAAGAGGUGGUAAAUAGUUUAUGGGGUGUUUCAUUUCUAUCCCAUGCUUUUUCUACAACUUGUCAUCGAAGAUAUUAUAUGUUGCUGUUUAGCAAUUUCAGUUAUGUUGUUGUUAGUAAAGUUCAUCCAAGGUAACGUAAGUAAGACCAUCUUAUCCUGGCCAUUGCUGCCUUGAGAAUGGGACUAACUAUAUGUCUUGUAUUGUUGGGUUGUUAUUGGCAUAUAUGAUGAUCUACAUGUUCCUAAAAAAAAUUCAUUUGUGCAAUGACAUACAAUUUCAAUUGUUUUGAGAAAAGAUAGUUCA